rnacentral:rRNA from 1 species
AUUGAACGCUGGCGGCAGGCCUAACACAUGCAAGUCGAGCGAGCGGCGGACGGGUGAGUAAUGUCUGGGAAACUGCCCGAUGGAGGGGGAUAACUACUGGAAACGGUAGCUAAUACCGCAUACUGUCAGAUUUGCCCAUAUGGGAUUAGCUAGUAGGUGGGGUAACGGCUUACCUAGGCGACGAUCCCUAGCUGUUCUGAGAGGAUGACCAGCCACACUGGAACUGAGACACGGCCCAGACUCCUACGGGAGGCAGCAGUGGGGAAUAUUGCACAAUGGGCGCAAGCCUGAUGCAGCCAUGCCGCGUGUGUGAAGAAGGCCUUAGGGUUGUAAAGCACUUUCAGCGGGGAGGCGUUACCCACAGAAGAAGCACCGGCUAACUCCGUGCCAGCAGCCGCGGUAAUAC